rnacentral:rRNA from 1 species
CCUCGCGGGUUUUUUAUAAUCUGAGCCUUCUCGGCGCCUCUCGUAGGCGUUUCGAAAAUGAAUCAAAACUUUCAACAACGGAUCUCUUGGUUCUGGCAUCGAUGAAGAACGCAGCGAAAUGCGAUAAGUAAUGUGAAUUGCAGAAUUCAGUGAAUCAUCGAAUCUUUGAACGCACAUUGCGCCCGCCAGUAUUCUGGCGGGCAUGCCUGUCCGAGCGUCAUUUCAACCCUCGAACCCCUCCGGGGGGUCGGCGUUGGGGAUCGGCCCUCCCUUAGCGGGUGGCCGUCUCCGAAAUACAGUGGCGGUCUCGCCGCAGCCUCUCCUGCGCAGUAGUUUGCACACUCGCAUCGGGAGCGCGGCGCGUCCACAGCCGU